CUCAGAGUUGGGUGCCUUGACCCCGGGCUUUGCUCCUCUUACCCUGCCUUUGGGCCUGACAGAUCAGAUACCCUGCAUGAAAGCAGACCUGGGUAAGGAGGGCCGAGCAGCCUUCCAAUGAAGUAAAAAGAUAUUUCUGUUGACAAAUAUGUAAAACUUUAGAGCUAAAUGGUUAUGGAUGCUCUGGACUGCAAACUUCAGGAAUUACUAGAGCAGAAGAGUAAGACCUUAACAGGCUCUUGCAUUUAAAGACCCUGACACUGGGAAAGAAUGAGGAUAGGAGGAGGAGGGGACGACAGAGGCUGAGAUGGUUGGAUGGCAUCACCAAUUCAAUAGACAUGAGUUUGAGCAAACUCAGGGAGAUAGUGAAGGACAGAGAAGCCUGGCGUCCUGUAGUCCACGGGGUCACAAAGAGUCAGAUACGACUGAGUGGCUGAACAACCACAACAUUUUUUGAGCCCUGACCUGUGGCUGGUAUUGUGUAAGGCGAUUAAUAGAUAUCAUCACAUUUUACUCUUAAACAACCCCAUAAGGGUAGGUGCUGGAAAACAUGAGAUAACAGAGAGGUUAAGUAACUUCUCUGUAGUCACACAGUUAGUAUCUGAUGGAUUAGAGAUUCAUAUUCAUGUCUUUAAAACCCAAGCCUAAACUCAAGCCUAUUUAGCCAUUAUUCAUACUUCUUUUCAAAGCUGUGUUUUCUCAAGACAGCGAAUUCUUAGCUUCUGCAGGAGAAGUAACAGGGUAGUACUUUAGCAGCCUGACAUAGAAUGCGAUGCAUCUUAAUACCCUAAAUAUCCAUUAAGUUAGCAUCUGGACCCGAUUUGUCAUUUUCCUCCUUCCCGUCUCCCCACCCCAUCUAGUGCCCGUCCUCUUCCUGUCCUCAGCUGGGCCCACCAUUUCCCCUGUGAGCCUCCCUUCUCUCCACCCGACAAGCCCAAGACCCUUUCUUCACUCCCACUCCUUGGCUGUGAGUACGAGCAUUGCAUCUGUGUGUGGGUGAGCCCAAGGCAAAAAUGGAAGGAAUCAUGAGUUUGUCUUCAGGAUCUUUACCAACUCCUUUCCAUAUUCUCUACCUCACCCCACCCGGCUGAUCUUGGCGUCUCCCAAAAGUACACAGGGCCACGCUGUCUGUCUGUCUGCUGCCUUGCUGCCAUUCUGUUUCCAGGAGAAAGUAUCACAAGUGAGUUCAUCAUCUGUUGUAAAUAACUUGGGUGUGAACCACAGGAGGUGACCUCUCUCUGAAGCGUUUGUGCUUUGGCUCUGAGGGUAGGACAGGAAGGCGCCAUGAAUAGAGGGGUUUCCACCAGCCAUCACCAGAGUGGACACUCAGGAACCCACAUGUGGCCCCCUGGCAUUUCUGCCUAUGAAUUGUGAAUCCUGGUAGAAAAAUAGAGUCGGCUCCAAAAUUAGGAUAAAAUGAAGAAAGAGAGUAGUCAUUGGGCCCGUCGAGGCAGGCAAAGGAAAAGAAGAGUAUUGAGAACAGGGAAGAGAAGACCAGCCUCCUGGGUCACUCUUCACAAGUGUCUGAGUGGCUGUACCAGAAGGGUGACGGUGAGUGCCUAAACCCUUGUCUGUGGGAGCACUGAGAUAAACAACCAAGAAGAUGACCUUUGCAACUCUUUGCUUCCUCCUCCUUCAAGGAAAUGUAGAUAUUUCUUCGGCUGAAGGCUGGGCUUUGGCUCAGUCCAUGCUUCUGCUCUGAGUAGCUCAUGUUUGUAUGACGCCUCAUCGCUCACAGAGCGCAUUGUCAUUGGCUACGCCAUUUUGUCCUCCAAGUGCUAGCGGAGUGGAUUUUGUUUUACCCAUUUUACAGGUGAAGAAACUGAGGCCAAGACACAUUAAAAGAUGUAGAAUAUUUAGUCAAUGAGCAGGAGGACCCGGAGCCCAGGCUUCUGUUUCAGUGUACUCUUUCACUGCUGUGAACCACCACCAGGGGUGAAGGUCUUGAAUUGUGCAUUCAGUCUGUACUCUUGGGCGAGCAAACCUGUUUACUUGUAAACAUUUCUGUUUUAGAAAUAGAACUCCAGGACACUAGGAAGCACAAGUCCCAAGAUGUUAGUUGUUAUCCUUGUUAAAAGACCCAAUAUAAUGUUUUAUCACAAAACAGAUUUUUAUUUUUAAUUUAAGAAGCUUAUGGAGCACCCUCAUGGUAACUGUCCUUCUCAGUUAUGGACCUACUGGGGCCCAGAAUGCCCAUUUCCUCUUCUUCUAGUUGUUAGUGGUAAUUGGGCUCCCCGCUGUGCAUUGCUAAGAAGUUCCUUUUGUCCAUCCUAUAAACAGUUAUGAGCACCCAUGUGUUCAGGGUGCUGUACCAAGAAGGUGCAUUCUGGUGCUGCCCUGGUGGAAGCUGAUGUCUAGUGGGUGAGGCCGUCAUCCCCCAUAGGGUCACUGGGAAGUGUGACGGCUAGGGGUGCUGUGACUGGACAGGAAACUGGGCAGGCUUUGUGGAGGAACCAGCCCUUAUGCAAAGAGGUAGAGGAUCCAUAUGGGCCCGGAAGAGUAAGGAAGAAGAGCAUUCCAGAGGUGAUGACUCUGGUGUAGAUAAAGCAAGAGGUGAAAGCUAGUGAAUAGUUUAGAAAGGCAGGACCCACCAAGGCCUUGGAGUAGUGUCCAGAUAUGUGUGUUUGAUGUACAUCCAGAAUUAAGAGUCUGGCUGGUUCAACUAGAGUAGACCUUUUACUGAUGAAUGAAAGGCUUAACUCUGUAGAACUCAUGUAGAACAUGACUUCAGUGGUGACGAUGAUAAAUGUGGUUAACUAGAGAGUGCGUUUCCAGAGUAGCUGGGACAAAGGGUGUCACCCUGGAUCAGAAAACUAGGUUCUCCUCCUCCAGGCUUUGUUGCUCCUCAGGUGUGCAUUCCUGCCUGUGUCCUCCUGGGGGACCAUAUGGACAGAGAAGGUUCAGACCUGGCUGCACCCAUUGACAGCCACCUCUCUAAGCCUCCUCUAUAGAAAGAACUAGAAUUCCCUACCUCUUUGGGCUGUGAUAUGGAUGGAAAAAAUCACACUGUACCAUGCUCAUUAAUUUAUUUGUUUGGUCUUUGCCAGCACUACCCAUAGCCCUUUGAUUCCAGUGAGCCUGAGCUAUUACAGAGACGCAAGGGGAAAUGUGUGUACGUGUCUGUGUGCAGACAGAGAUUUGCAGGAUCCAAAGUCAGAUUUGUUUAGGACCCAUAACUAUUGAUCACUUUGUUGACUUCCUUAUCAAAUUAACCUGCUUAAUGUUUGAUGUUAAAUUUUAAGGAUAGCAUAUUUAUAUUUGCUUAAGUAAAUGUACCAGCUGAAUUUAUUUUAGACGUCUCUGAAAGUUUGAGAACCAACGAAACCAUUCCCAUACUCCACAUUUUUUCAGUGUGACCUUGGCCCUCAAGGGCCUUUACAUGUUCAUUGCAACAGCACCUUAUGUUUGCAAAAUAAAGCACAUAUUAUAUAAUUUGAGAAGCUGGUGCUUAGAAGACUUGUCAGAAUGCUUCAGAAAGUCUUGUGAAUUCUCUUCCAUUUCAAUUAGCUGUCUCUCUUAGUCCCAGUUAUUCUGGAAAUUCACUCUUGUUUACCACAUGUAUCACCACUCCCAACACUAAAGAUUCUUCACAGCUCUCUCACCCCUAUCAGUAGUCAUAUUGGCGAUAGCCUGCAUGAUGCAUUGUCUUACCAGCCCCGUGACACAGACUGCCCAGUGUUCAACCAAGAUUCAGAGCUAGAUGUGUUGAUUCCAGUAACCAAAAGUUGUUGGGUUCAUUUGCAUCUGAUGAGUACCUGUAGCCAGCCAGACUCUACAAGAAGCCAAGGGAAGACUAAUCCAGGAGAUGAGCGCCCCCUGCUGGCUCUGCAUCCUCUGUAAACCAGACAUUGCCCCUGAGUCAGUGGCUGUUUAUAUUGGUGGAGAACCAGCAAGUCAGUCCCUCUGUUACCUUUGGCUCCACUAGAACCUGAGAGAAAAACAGCAGAGGGUGAAGAAAGGAAGAUCUAAAAAACAAAGACUAUUUUGGAAGUGGUUAGUAAUGCUUAAAGACACACUUUCUAUAGGAUUUCCGUGUUGCGUUAUCAAAGGACUUGCAGUGUUAAGUGCGAGAUCUUCCACCUAGGGUGGGCUCUUUUGAAAGGGCCUCCUCACCUGUCAUCAGGGCCCAGUUCUGGGAGACCGACUUCAACAGCUGCAGCUUCAGAGAGAUGAAAACCCAGCCUUCGUGGGCUGUAAGCUGAAUCCCGAGUGUGCAUGAGGACUGGUUUUCCUGCUAAACCCUAGUUUUGAAGUUUGAAGUUUUAGUCACUCAGUCGUCUCUGACUCUUUGUGAGCCCACAGACUGUAGCCCACCAGGCUCCUCUGUCCAUGGAAUUCUCCAAGCAAGAAUACUGGACUAGGUUGCCAUUUCCUUCUCCAGGGGAUCUUCCCGCCCUAGGGAUUGAACCUGGGUCUCCUGCAUUGCCGGAGGAUUCUUUACCAUAUGAGCCACUAGGGAAAAUGUAGUGGGCUCCCUCUACCCGCUCCCUGGGGCAGAGCAGGUUCCUCCAGCUGCCCGGCAACUCAGCUACAUCUUCCAGGCAAAGGCAGUGUGUUUAAUGUCAACCGUGAUCUCGGAAGAGAGAGUGCGAGGAGUUCAGUUAGGUAGAGUUACACAGCCAGAGAAGGGCAGGCUUUGCGAUGGAGAGGGUGGGACAGGAGAUUGCUCUCUUUAGAUUUUGAAGAAGCACUGCCUUGGGGAAGAAGCAGAGUUCUGUGAUGUGGUCACAGGAACAGACCUGAGUAGGGAGUGCACACCUGAGCUCACUUAGAGAAAACCUCCCUGAGUUACAGCUAUCAGGGUAACCUCCAGCUCUUGCUGACCUGUGUCGUGAGCAUCACGUGCCGAGCAUUUGACCCAGAUACUGUUCUUACGUCCAGUCUCUCAGUAACAAAACGGAAGCUCGGGAACAUUAAGAAAUUAAAAAUUACUUAAAUGCAAAAACAGCUGCCCUUCAAAGCCUCGAGCUCCUCAAGCCCAGGCUGGAUGCAGCAGGGCCCUUCACCCUGGCGCAGCGAGUGAAAGAGGGUGAUCAGGACGUUUGGAGAAA